rnacentral:rRNA from 1 species
GAUGAACGCUAGCUACAGGCUUAACACAUGCAAGUCGAACGGAACCUUCGGGUUUAGUGGCGAACGGGUGAGUAAAGCGCAGGUAAUCUGCCGCAAAGUCGGGGACAACGUCCCGAAAGGGACGCUAAUACCGGAUGUUGUAAGAUUCUCGCAUGGGAGUUUUACUAAAGAUUUAUCGCUUUGCGAGGAGCCUGCGUCCGAUUAGGUAGUUGGUGUAGUAAAGGUGCACCAAGCCGACGAUCGGUAGCCGGUCUGAGAGGAUGAACGGCCACAAUGGAACUGAGACACGGUCCAUACUCC